ensembl:lncRNA
GUUCUGGGAUUCUCAGGAUUCUGCAUAACAUGCCGGUGGUGAUCUCUUCUAAGAAGUGUGACUUUUCUUGCAUGGCCUGGGGGUUAAGAAUGGUUAUGCAUCAUGGCCUUCAAAUGCUCUCGGGGCUCACCCACUCUUGCUCCUUUUCAGUUUAUGUGGAUCCAUGAUGUGGAAAUUCUCCAGCCUACAUCCAUGUUUGCACUCCUUCUAGUCUGUGUACUGAGCACCCAUGAUAUGCCGGGCACGGUGCUAGAUCUGAAGGUGCUAGAUCCGAAAAAGGCAUAGUCCUUGGCCUCAAGGAGUCUAGUGGGAGGGGCCUCGUGAACACUCAAUUGCCAUAAGAGUGUGGAGGGCUGCGGUGUGCCCGGGUGCUUGGGAAUGCUGUAGCGUGGAUUCCUACUUGGUCUUCAGGGGGCCGGCACUGAAGAGAGGCUGACCAAAGAGAAAAUCAAAGUCGAGUCCUCAUGGAUGAAUAGGAGUUCCUGGGACGAGGUGAUGGUAGGAAAAGGUGUCAGUGAGCAGGUGAGGAGGGCAUUCCAGGUAGACGGUCCGCAGGAGCCAAGGUUCAAUGGCGACAGAGGAGAAACGCACCAUUUAGAACGUGUAAGCAUAAAGUGAGAAGAAAGGGGAAGUCAGGAGGUGCGAUGCCGAGCUCCGCUAAAGAACAAGUCCUGAGCGCAAUGGGGAGCCACAAAAUGGCUGAAAGCAGCAACAACAAAGACUUGGCUUUCUCACACCUGCUCCCACACGCUGGGCUGCCUGGAGAAAAGUUACCACAGCCACAGCCCGACCCGCGCUCUCUUGCCACAGACCUUUAGAAGACAGGAGGAUUUCACCUCAGGAGACGCCCUCCUUUGCCUCCCAGAUGAUUUAGAUGAAUCUACCAUAGUGCACCAGCAACAUCUAGCAUCACACUUAUGCUGUUUUUUAACCUGUGAUUUGCAUAUUGCUUCCCUUGCAAAACUGGAAACAUCUUCAAAGGAAGGGAUGCUUCUCAGUGUUUGCAUCUCCAGCGCCUAGGACAGCGUUUGCAGAGAGCAAAUGCUCAGUGUAUGAAUCCCAUUGCUUGUGAAGCUGUGAUUAUGACCCUGGUCUCCUUGGCUAUCACAGGAACCAAGCCCCACUCUGCUUUGGUGUAAGCCCAGAGUAGUUCAAGCCAAGGGUGCUCUGACGUGGACUCAGUCCCUGGCCGGUGAUGACUCAUUGCUGGGGCUUUCCCUUCCAGGGAUUCAUCUGAUAGACGGGAGCUCCUAGAAUGCCUUACCUCCCAUUGGAUGCGGGAUUCCAGCACUGCCACCAACCUCGAAGAGGAGAUGCUCUAGCCUGGGGACAAAGAGCUGAACAAAGACUUUCUCGCUGCAGAAUGUGUGACAGUGACAUAAUGAGAAAUAUAUAUUUGAUCUCCACCUCUAGUUCCUGACAUAGAGCUCCUAAAACCCUUGUAAUUUCCUGAGUGACAGGGGUGAGAGGAGCAUAUUUUGUUAUAAUUGGUCUUUAGUCCCUGGUUCCUGACACCAGACAGAGCUUCUAAGACUUUGGAAUCUCCAGAGUGGUCAGAGUGUCUUUUUGUAUGUUGAUGAGAUGACUGGUCCAGGGGCUGGAAGGCAGCUUCAGGAUAGCGGGCUGGUUGCCAGAGGAACCAGCCGUGUGAUUAGAAGGUUGGAAAUUGCAGCCCUCCUCUGCCGACCUCCAGGGAAAAAGGAGGGGCUGGAGACUAAGUUCAAUCACCAAUCACCAGUGAUUUAAUCAACCCUGUCUAUGUAAUGCUCCCUCCUUAAAAACCCUGAAAGAAGGAGUUUGGAGGGCUCCCAGGAUGGAGAGAUGGCAUUGGAUGACCACAUCACCCAGAGCACUAUCGCAUGACUUGUAGGAAGGAGAAGUCACCUGGAAACUUUCAUGCCAUCAAGCCGUGUGUUCAGGAUCAUAGCUUGUAUUUAUUGUCCUCCUUCCCAUGAG